rnacentral:rRNA from 1 species
CCUGGCUCCGGAUGAACGCUAGCUACAGGCUUAACACAUGCAAGUCGAGGGGCAGCAUGGUCUUAGCUUGCUAAGGCCGAUGGCGACCGGCGCACGGGUGAGUAACACGUAUCCAACCUGCCGUCUACUCUUGGACAGCCUUCUGAAAGGAAGAUUAAUACAAGAUGGCAUCAUGAGUCCGCAUGUUCACAUGAUUAAAGGUAUUCCGGUAGACGAUGGGGAUGCGUUCCAUUAGAUAGUAGGCGGGGUAACGGCCCACCUAGUCUUCGAUGGAUAGGGGUUCUGAGAGGAAGGUCCCCCACAUUGGAACUGAGACACGGUCCAAACUCCUACGGGAGGCAGCAGUGAGGAAUAUUGGUCAAUGGGCGAGAGCCUGAACCAGCCAAGUAGCGUGAAGGAUGACUGCCCUAUGGGUUGUAAACUUCUUUUAUAAAGGAAUAAAGUCGGGUAUGGAUACCCGUUUGCAUGUACUUUAUGAAUAAGGAUCGGCUAACUCCGUGCCAGCAGCCGCGGUAAUACGGAGGAUCCGAGCGUUAUCCGGAUUUAUUGGGUUUAAAGGGAGCGUAGAUGGAUGUUUAAGUCAGUUGUGAAAGUUUGCGGCUCAACCGUAAAAUUGCAGUUGAUACUGGAUAUCUUGAGUGCAGUUGAGGCAGGCGGAAUUCGUGGUGUAGCGGUGAAAUGCUUAGAUAUCACGAAGAACCCCGAUUGCGAAGGCAGCCUGCUAAGCUGCAACUGACAUUGAGGCUCGAAAGUGUGGGUAUCAAACAGGAUUAGAUACCCUGGUAGUCCACACGGUAAACGAUGAAUACUCGCUGUUUGCGAUAUACUGCAAGCGGCCAAGCGAAAGCGUUAAGUAUUCCACCUGGGGAGUACGCCGGCAACGGUGAAACUCAAAGGAAUUGACGGGGGCCCGCACAAGCGGAGGAACAUGUGGUUUAAUUCGAUGAUACGCGAGGAACCUUACCCGGGCUUAAAUUGCAGAUGAAUUACGGUGAAAGCCGUAAGCCGCAAGGCAUCUGUGAAGGUGCUGCAUGGUUGUCGUCAGCUCGUGCCGUGAGGUGUCGGCUUAAGUGCCAUAACGAGCGCAACCCUUGUUGUCAGUUACUAACAGGUUCCGCUGAGGACUCUGACAAGACUGCCAUCGUAAGAUGUGAGGAAGGUGGGGAUGACGUCAAAUCAGCACGGCCCUUACGUCCGGGGCUACACACGUGUUACAAUGGGGGGUACAGAGGGCCGCUACCACGCGAGUGGAUGCCAAUCCCCAAAACCUCUCUCAGUUCGGACUGGAGUCUGCAACCCGACUCCACGAAGCUGGAUUCGCUAGUAAUCGCGCAUCAGCCACGGCGCGGUGAAUACGUUCCCGGGCCUUGUACACACCGCC